rnacentral:rRNA from 1 species
CCUUCGGGAUUAGUGGCGGACGGGUGAGUAACACGUGGGAACGUGCCUUUUGGUUCGGAACAACUCAGGGAAACUUGAGCUAAUACCGGAUGUGCCCUUCGGGGGAAAGAUUUAUCGCCAUUAGAGCGGCCCGCGUCUGAUUAGCUUGUCGGUGAGGUAAAGGCUCACCAAGGCUACGAUCAGUAGCUGGUCUGAGAGGAUGAUCAGCCACACUGGGACUGAGACACGGCCCAGACUCCUACGGGAGGCAGCAGUGGGGAAUCUUGCGCAAUGGGCGAAAGCCUGACGCAGCCAUGCCGCGUGAAUGAUGAAGGUCUUAGGA